rnacentral:lncRNA from 1 species
UCCAGCAGUGGUACUGUUCCUUUACCCUUGUGGGUAAUAAUAUGGUAGCUAGACCUUCAAAAUUUAUGUGUCUAAACUUUGUUAGUGCUGUUUCUUUGCUAUUCUUUUACCCUUCUUGGUCAGAGCGGUGUAGUGGGAGCUGCAAGCUUCACGUGUCUUAACUUUGUCAGAGAACUUUGGCAAAGUUAUUUGUGGUACCCAUGAGCUAAUGUUGCGUGUGGGAAGUGGGUGAUUGAACAGUAAGAUUCAUGUGCUUUCUACUUCACCAGAAAUCUUCGACAUAAUGCCCAUAAUUUCCGCAAAGCUGACAGGUGCUGACAAGGCUGGAAAAGUA